CUGGCCUCCCAGCCUUUCUCUGCUUCCUCACUCAUGAUGCCAGCAGGCUGCUCUAUCGCUACCCGCAUCUAGAGGCCUCAAGCAAUGUGGUCACUUGAUCCUAGACUGGAACCUCUAGAACCAAGAGCUAAAUGAGACUUUUCUCUUAUGACUUAAUUGCCUCAGAUGCUCUUAGCAUAGUGAUUAUUAUGGCUUGUGUUUAGAAGCCCCCUAAAGUCUCAUGCAGGUAGAUAAGAACCUAAAGAUUAAAAUCAGAGAGAACUGCAAAGAAGAUCAGAAAUUUAAUAUAUCGGGAAGAUCAAGGCCCUCAAUUGUUUAUGGAGCCUGAUAGAAGUUUCAUCAGGUGCUACUGACUCUUAGGACUCAGAAGGUUCCCCUCUCUCCUGUGUUUGAGCUGUUCCAGUUCUCAGCCUGAACUUCGCACCCCUCAUACAGUGGCCUGGGGAUUUCUGAAUCUGUCACACCAUGAGCAAGCAGAAGAGGAAGAGCAAUAUUUCUGGACUAUUCAUCAAGACAUCUCAUUCCACAAGCAGCAUCUGACUUUGUUAAGAAACAAAAAGGCAUUCAACCAGAAGCCAGAGGCAACAUGAUUUAUGGGGUUGGAAGAAUCAUUGUUUUAACCAUCUCAAAAUAGAAUCUUCUCUAUAAGAGCAAGGAUCAUGUUUCAUUUCUGAAUGCUACUGCCUAGCUCAGCAUCUGCUACACAGCAGGCACUCAAUAAAUGUAUCUUGGAUGAAAGGAG
rnacentral:lncRNA from 1 species